rnacentral:rRNA from 1 species
CAAUAGCGUAUAUUAAAGUUGUUGCAGUUAAAAAGCUCGUAGUUGAAUUUUUGCUUGCCGCCGAUGUCGGAACUUCCGUACGUUCGGCGGCGUGCAUCCUUGGGUGGAACCUGUGUGGCAUUGGGUUGUCGUGCAGGGGAUGCUCAUCGUUUACUGUGAAAAAAUUAGAGUGUUCAAAGCAGGCUUAUGCCGUUGAAUAUAUUAGCAUGGAAUAAUAAGAUAGGACCUUGGUACUAUUUUGUUGGUUUGCGCACCGAGGUAAUGAUUAACAGGGACAGUUGGGGGUAUUCGUAUUCCAUUGUCAGAGGUGAAAUUCUUGGAUUUCUGGAAGACGAACUACUGCGAAAGCAUUUACCAAGGAUGUUUUCAUUAA